AUUAGAUACCCCGGUAGUCCACGCCGUAAACGAUGAUCACUAUAUAUGAAUUCGACCCUUUGUGCAUACGAAUCUAACGGGAUAAGUGAUCCGCCUGGGGAGUACGAGCGCAAGCUUAGAACUCAAAGGAAUUGACGGGGACCCGCACAAGCAGAGGAGGAUGUGGUUUAAUUCGAAGCUAAGCGAAGAACCUUACCGAGGCUUGACAUCUCUGGAAUUUUGGCGAAAGCCGAAAGUGCCUUCGGGAACCAGAUGACAGAUGCUGCAUGGCCGUCGUCAGCUCGUGUCGUGAGAUGUUGGGUUAAGUCCCGCAACGAGCGCAACCCUCGUCGUCAGUUGUAUUUUCUGGCGAGACCGCCCGGGCCAACCGGGAGGAAGGUGGGGAUGACGUCUGGUCAGCAUGGCUCUUACGCCUCGGGCUACACACGUCCUACAAUGGCCACUACAACGCGCUGCCAAACCGUAAGGUGGAGCAAAUCGCAUCAAAAGUGGUCUCAGUUCGGAUUGAGGGCUGAAACUCGCCCUCAUGAAGCUGGAUUUGCUAGUAAUGGCAGGUCAGCCAUACUGCCGUGAAUACGUUCCCGGGUCUUGUACACACCGCCCGUCUAAUCACGAAAGUUAGGAGUACCCAAAGUAUCAGCUUGCUGG
rnacentral:rRNA from 1 species